rnacentral:rRNA from 1 species
CAUCCUCCAAGGCUAAAUACUCCUGACUGACCGAUAGUGAACCAGUACCGUGAGGGAAAGGCGAAAAGAACCCCGGCGAGGGGAGUGAAAAAGAACCUGAAACCGUGUACGUACAAGCAGUGGGAGCACAGGUUUACCUGUGUGACUGCGUACCUUUUGUAUAAUGGGUCAGCGACUUAUAUUCUGUAGCAAGGUUAACCGUAUAGGGGAGCCGGAGGGAAACCGAGUCUUAAUUGGGCGUUAAGUUGCAGGGUAUAGACCCGAAACCCGGUGAUCUAGCCAUGGGCAGGUUGAAGGUUGGGUAACACUAACUGGAGGACCGAACCGACUAAUGUUGAAAAAUUAGCGGAUGACCUGUGGCUGGGGGUGAAAGGCCAAUCAAACCGGGAGAUAGCUGGUUCUCCCCGAAAGCUAUUUAGGUAGCGCCUCGUGAAUUCAUCUCCGGGGGUAGAGCACUGUUUCGGCUAGGGGGCCAUCCCGGCUUACCAACCCGAUGCAAACUGCGAAUACCGGAGAAUGUUAUCACGGGAGACACACGGCGGGUGCUAACGUCCGUCGUGAAGAGGGAAACAACCCAGACCGCCAGCUAAGGUCCCAAAGUCAUGGUUAAGUGGGAAACGAUGUGGGAAGGCCCAGACAGCCAGGAUGUUGGCUUAGAAGCAGCCAUCAUUUAAAGAAAGCGUAAUAGCUCACUGGUCGAGUCGGCCUGCGCGGAAGAUGUAACGGGGCUAAACCAUGCACCGAAGCUGCGGCAGCGAACGUAUCACUUAAAGCGAUUCAGCGGGUUACGAUUGACGGAGCGAAGCGACGUCAAAGCGUAUACAAAGUCGAGUCGGUUUAAGGAUACGUUCGUUGGGUAGGGGAGCGUUCUGUAAGCCUGCGAAGGUGGCCUGUGAGGGUUGCUGGAGGUAUCAGAAGUGCGAAUGCUGACAUAAGUAACGAUAAAGCGGGUGAAAAGCCCGCUCGCCGGAAGACCAAGGGUUCCUGUCCAACGUUAAUCGGGGCAGGGUGAGUCGACCCCUAAGGCGAGGCCGAAAGGCGUAGUCGAUGGGAAACGGGUUAAUAUUCCCGUACUUGGUGUUACUGCGAAGGGGGGACGGAGAAGGCUAUGUUGGCCGGGCGACGGUUGUCCCGGUUUAAGCGUGUAGGUGUGUGUUCCAGGUAAAUCCGGUUCACUUUAACACUGAGGCGUGACGACGAGGCACUACGGUGCUGAAGCAACAAAUGCCCUGCUUCCAGGAAAAGCCUCUAAGCAUCAGGUAACAUCAAAUCGUACCCCAAACCGACACAGGUGGUCAGGUAGAGAAUACCAAGGCGCUUGA